AUUGAACGCUGGCGGCAUGCUUUACACAUGCAAGUCGAACGGUAACAGGCCGCAAGGUGCUGACGAGUGGCGAACGGGUGAGUAAUGCAUCGGAACGUGCCCAGUCGUGGGGGAUAACGCAGCGAAAGCUGCGCUAAUACCGCAUACGAUCUAUGGACGAAAGCGGGGGGCCGUAAGGCCUCGCGCGAUUGGAGCGGCCGAUGUCAGAUUAGGUAGUUGGUGGGGUAAAGGCUCACCAAGCCAACGAUCUGUAGCUGGUCUGAGAGGACGACCAGCCACACUGGGACUGAGACACGGCCCAGACUCCUACGGGAGGCAGCAGUGGGGAAUUUUGGACAAUGGGCGCAAGCCUGAUCCAGCAAUGCCGCGUGCAGGAAGAAGGCCUUCGGGUUGUAAACUGCUUUUGUACGGAACGAAACGGUCCUGGUUAAUACCCGGGGCUAAUGACGGUACCGUAAGAAUAAGCACCGGCUAACUACGUGCCAGCCGCCGCGGUAAGAC
rnacentral:rRNA from 1 species